UCGAGCGAAGCGGUCUGGAGGAAGUUUUCGGAUGGAAUCCGGAUUGACUGAGCGGCGGACGGGUGAGUAACGCGUGGGUAACCUGCCUCAUACAGGGGGAUAACAGUUAGAAAUGGCUGCUAAUACCGCAUAAGCGCACAGCUUCGCAUGGAGCAGUGCGAAAAACUCCGGUGGUAUGAGAUGGACCCGCGUCUGAUUAGCUAGUUGGUAAGGUAACGGCUUACCAAGGCGACGAUCAGUAGCCGACCUGAGAGGGUGACCGGCCACAUUGGGACUGAGACACGGCCCAAACUCCUACGGGAGGCAGCAGUGGGGAAUAUUGCACAAUGGGGGAAACCCUGAUGCAGCGACGCCGCGUGAGUGAAGAAGUAUUUCGGUAUGUAAAGCUCUAUCAGCAGGGAAGAAAAUGACGGUACCUGACUAAGAAGCCCCGGCUAACUACGUGCCAGCAGCCGCGGUAAUACGUAGGGGGCAAGCGUUAUCCGGAUUUACUGGGUGUAAAGGGAGCGUAGACGGCAUAGCAAGUCUGGAGUGAAAGCCCGGGGCUCAACCCCGGUACUGCUUUGGAAACUGUUAAGCUAGAGUGCUGGAGAGGUAAGUGGAAUUCCUAGUGUAGCGGUGAAAUGCGUAGAUAUUAGGAGGACACCAGUGGCGAAGGCGGCUUACUGGACAGUAACUGACGUUGAGG
rnacentral:rRNA from 1 species